rnacentral:misc_RNA from 1 species
ACUGUUUAUUAAAAACACAG